GUUCUUUUGAUGGGGAGGUCGUAUCACGGCCUGAGAGUUCCGUUAAAACGGAUGACCCGAAGAACCUGAUCUGGAUAAUGCCAGCGUAGGGAAUCACGCAACAAUUCGGU
rnacentral:ncRNA from 2 species